rnacentral:rRNA from 1 species
UACGGAGGGUGCGAGCGUUAAUCGGAAUUACUGGGCGUAAAGCGUGCGUAGGUGGUUGAAUAAGUUAUCUGUGAAAUUCCUGGGCUUAACCUGGGGUGGUCAGAUGAUACUGUUUAACUCGAGUAUGGGAGAGGGUAGUGGAAUUUCCGGUGUAGCGGUGAAAUGCGUAGAGAUCGGAAGGAACACCAGUGGCGAAGGCGGCUACCUGGCCUAAUACUGACACUGAGGCACGAAAGCGUGGGGAG